rnacentral:rRNA from 1 species
UACGUAGGGUGCAAGCGUUGUCCGGAAUUACUGGGCGUAAAGGGUGCGUAGGCGGUUGUUUAAGUCUGUCGUGAAAUCCCCGGGCUUAACCUGGGAACUGCAUUGGUGACUGGCGGGCUAGAGUGUGGCAGAGGGGGGUAGAAUUCCACGUGUAGCAGUGAAAUGCGUAGAGAUGUGGAGGAAUACCGAUGGCGAAGGCAGCCCCCUGGGCUAACACUGACGCUCAUGCACGAAAGCGUGGGGAGCAAACAGG